rnacentral:rRNA from 1 species
UACAACGAAGAGUUUGAUCCUGGCUCAGGAUGAACGCUAGCGGGAGGCUUAACACAUGCAAGUCGAGGGGCAGCACGGUCCAACGCAAGAAGGACUGGUGGCGACCGGCGCACGGGUGAGUAACGCGUAUGCAACCUACCCUGUACUGGAGAAUAACCCGGAGAAAUUCGGACUAAUACUCCAUAACGAUAUAGAGAGGCAUCUUUUUAUAUUUAAAGCUCUGGCGGUACGGGCUGGGCAUGCGUAACAUUAGCUAGUUGGCAGGGUAACGGCCUACCAAGGCAACGAUGUUUAGGGGUCCUGAGAGGGUGAUCCCCCACACUGGUACUGAGACACGGACCAGACUCCUACGGGAGGCAGCAGUGAGGAAUAUUGGUCAAUGGGCGCAAGCCUGAACCAGCCAUCCCGCGUGAAGGAAGACGGCGCUAUGCGUUGU